AACGAACGCUGGCGGCAGGCUUAACACAUGCAAGUCGAGCGCCCCGCAAGGGGAGCGGCAGACGGGUGAGUAACGCGUGGGAAUCUACCCAUCUCUACGGAAUAACGCAUGGAAACGUGUGCUAAUACCGUAUACGUCCUUCGGGAGAAAGAUUUAUCGGAGAUGGAUGAGCCCGCGUUGGAUUAGCUAGUUGGUGGGGUAAAGGCCUACCAAGGCGACGAUCCAUAGCUGGUCUGAGAGGAUGAUCAGCCACACUGGGACUGAGACAUGGCCCAGACUCCUACGGGAGGCAGCAGUGGGGAAUAUUGGACAAUGGGCGCAAGCCUGAUCCAGCCAUGCCGCGUGAGUGAUGAAGGCCCUAGGGUUGUAAAGCUCUCUCACCGGUGAAGAUAAUGACGGUAACCGGAGAAGAAGCCCCGGCUAACUUCGUGCCAGCCGCCGCCGUAAAAC
rnacentral:rRNA from 1 species